rnacentral:rRNA from 1 species
AGUGAACGCUGGCGGUAGGCCUAACACAUGCAAGUCGAACGGCAGCACAGUAAGAGCUUGCUCUUACGGGUGGCGAGUGGCGGACGGGUGAGAAAUAAAUGGAAAUCUCUUUUUUCGGGGGGGUUAAGGAAGGAAACCUACGCCAAUAACGGAAUACACCUAACGGUGAAAGCAAGGGAAUCUCCGAACUUGCCGGGUUUGAUUGAGCGGAUGUCGGAUUAGCUAGUUGGCGGGGUAAAGGCCCACCAAGGCGACGAUCCGUAGCUGGUCUGAGAGGAUGAUCAGCCACACUGGAACUGAGACACGGUCCAGACUCCUACGGGAGGCAGCAGUGGGGAAUAUUGGACAAUGGGCGCAAGCCUGAUCCAGCCAUACCGCGUGGGUGAAGAAGGCCUUCGGGUUGUAAAGCCCUUUUGUUGGGAAAGAAAAGCAGCAGGUUAAUACCCCGCUGUUCUGACGGUACCCAAAGAAUAAGCACCGGCUAACUUCGUG